AUACGGAGGGUGCAAGCGUUAUUCGGAAUCACGGGGCGUAAAGGACGCGUAGGCGGGAAGCCAAGUCUGAUGUGAAAUCCUAUGGCUUAACCAUAGAACUGCAUUGGAAACUGGUUACCUAGAGUAUGGGAGGGGGAGAUGGAAUUAGUGGUGUAGGGGUAAAAUCCGUAGAUAUCACUAGGAAUACCGAAAGCGAAGGCGAUCUCCUGGAACAAUACUGACGCUAAGGCGUGAAAGCGUGGGGAGCAAACGGGAUUAGAAACCCUAGUAGUCC
rnacentral:rRNA from 1 species